rnacentral:rRNA from 1 species
GACGAACGCUGGCGGCGUGCUUAACACAUGCAAGUCGAACGGAAAGGCCCUGCUUUUGUGGGGUGCUCGAGUGGCGAACGGGUGAGUAACACGUGAGUAACCUGCCCUUGACUUUGGGAUAACUUCAGGAAACUGGGGCUAAUACCGGAUAGGAGCUCCUGCUGCAUGGUGGGGGUUGGAAAGCUUCGGCGGUUGGGGCUGGACUCGCGGCUUAUCAGCUUGUUGGUGGGGUAGUGGCUUACCAAGGCUUUGACGGGUAGCCGGCCUGAGAGGGUGACCGGCCACAUUGGGACUGAGAUACGGCCCAGACUCCUACGGGAGGCAGCAGUGGGGAAUAUUGCACAAUGGGCGGAAGCCUGAUGCAGCAACGCCGCGUGCGGGAUGACGGCCUUCGGGUUGUAAACCGCUUUCGCCUGUGACGAAGCGUGAGUGACGGUAAUGGGUAAAGAAGCACCGGCUAAGUACGUG